AUGUGAAGAGCUCUCGUUUGAAUUAAGUAAAGAAGUUAUUUCUACAAGACGUUUCCUGCAAGCCGUCCUCCCUCUACACCCCGACAUGACACAUGCUUAAAGUACAAAUCAGCCUUUAGUCAACAUGCUAAUAACCAGAAAAGAUUGUAACUUUAUGCGCUAUUCUUAUGUUAAAAUUGUGUGUUUUGAUAGGUGUGUCCUGUCUGUGUCCAGUGUAUUGUUUUGCUGUAAUUAGCAGUGGUUUUACUUGUUUAGGGUGUGUGAAACGAAAUAUCUGAAAUUCUACGCUGUUUUGUCUCUGCUCACAGGAAUUAGUUGAAAGUAUUUGAAAGAUAACCGUUAAGCAUCGUCCAAUCAUGAUAAAAUUGCGCCUUGGACAAAGAAUUUGAUUGGCUGAGCUCUCAUUGGCGCGGAGCGUUUGCGUUUCAGCACGUCGGCAGUGGACAAGUGGCGAACGAUUAUUGCUUUGACUGAGCAGAACUACAAACUGGUGGGAAUGUGAAGUAAUAUAAAUGUGUCUGGGCAAAUUGGGGACAAUUUGGGGUCUCAUAAUAUCGGUGAAUUCACAGAAAAUUUCAGUUUUUCUGAAUAUUUCUGCAGGUAUUGCCGGAUAACACGAACAGAUUUUCAAACAGAUCCAAAUGCAUGUGGACCUCAGCGCACUCUUACAGUCUGAAGAACAACAAAACGCUGAAGAAAUGGGUGAUUCAGAGCUAAACACUUUAAACAUCAGCAAUGCCAUUGAUGCUGUAUUACCUGAACUCUCAAUCGCAACUAAAAAAUCUCUUGAGGACACCUUAAAGUCACUUGGAGUGGAGUCCCCAGAAGAUUCAAGCCAGGAAAUUUAUUUCUGUUCUAAAGGAGACCAGUAAGUCCAAGUAUUUGUUUCCAUUACAAAAAAGGGAUGGUUUAAUAUUAAAAUGAAAAUUCUGA
ensembl:lncRNA